UACGUAGGGGGCGAGCGUUGUCCGGAAUCAUUGGGCGUAAAGAGCUCGUAGGCGGUUCAGUAAGUCAGGUGUGAAAGCUCCGAGCUCAACUCGGAGAGGCCACCUGAUACUGCUGUGACUAGAAUCCAGUAGGGGAGUGUGGAACUCCUGGUGUAGCGGUGAAAUGCGCAGAUAUCAGGAGGAACACCGGUGGCGAAGGCGGAUCUCUGGGCCAUUACUGACGCUGAGGAGCGAAAGCGUGGGGAGCGAACAGG
rnacentral:rRNA from 1 species